rnacentral:rRNA from 1 species
CUGGCUCAGGAUAAACGCUGGCGGCGCACAUAAGACAUGCAAGUCGAACGGGAACUUUAUUGAAGUUAUCUGAUAUAAAGUUCUAGUGGCGGACUGGUGAGUAAUGUAUAAGCAACCUGCCUAUAAGAGGGGAAUAACAGUGAGAAAUCAUUGCUAAUACCGCAUAAGCUGUGAGUAUGGCAUCAUACAAACAGAAAAGGAAGCAAUUCCGCUUAUAGAUGGGCUUAUAUCUGAUUAGCUAGUUGGUGAGGGUAACGGCCUACCAAGGCGAUGAUCAGUAGCCGGACUGAGAGGUUGAACGGCCACAUUGGGACUGAGAUACGGCCCAGACUCCUACGGGAGGCAGCAGUCGGGAAUAUUGCGCAAUGGAGGAAACUCUGACGCAGUGACGCCGCGUGCAGGAAGAAGGUUUUAGGAUUGUAAACUGCUUUAGACAGGGAAGAAACAAAUGACGGUACCUGUAAAAUAAGCUCCGGCUAACUACGUGCCAGCCGCGGC